rnacentral:rRNA from 1 species
UACGUAGGGCGCAAGCGUUAUCCGGAAUUAUUGGGCGUAAAGAGCUCGUAGGCGGUUUGUCGCGUCUGCCGUGAAAGUCCGGAGCUCAACUCCGGAUCUGCCGUGCCGACUGUCAAACUCGAGGGCUGUAGAGGCAGACGGAAUUCCGGGUGUAGCGGUGGAAUGCGUAGAGAUCCGGAGGAAGACCGGUGGCGAAGGCGGUCUGCUGGGCAGUUUCUGACACUGAGGCGCGACAGCGUGGGGAGCAAACAGG